AGAGAAGGCGGGCGGCAGGCCUAACACAUGCAAGUCGAACGAACCUUUCGGGGUUAGUGGCGGACGGGUGAGUAACACGUGGGAACGUGCCUUUAGGUUCGGAAUAACUCAGGGAAACUUGUGCUAAUACCGAAUGUGCCCUUCGGGGGAAAGAUUUAUCGCCUUUAGAGCGGCCCGCGUCUGAUUAGCUAGUUGGUUGAGGUAAUGGCUCACCAAGGCGACGAUCAGUAGCUGGUCUGAGAGGAUGAUCAGCCACAUUGGGACUGAGACACGGCCCAAACUCCUACGGGAGGCAGCAGUGGGGAAUCUUGCGCAAUGGGCGAAAGCCUGACGCAGCCAUGCCGCGUGAAUGAUGAAGGUCUUAGGAUUGUAAAAUUCUUUCACCGGGGACGAUAAUGACGGUACCCGGAGAAGAAGCCCCGGCUAACUUCGUG
rnacentral:rRNA from 1 species